rnacentral:rRNA from 1 species
UACGAAGGGGGCUAGCGUUGCUCGGAUUUACUGGGCGUAAAGGGCGCGUAGGCGGAUGUUUAAGUCAGGGGUGAAAUCCCGGGGCUCAACCUCGGAACUGCCUUUGAUACUGGAGAUCUUGAGUCCGGAAGAGGUAAGUGGAACUGCGAGUGUAGAGGUGAAAUUCGUAGAUAUUCGCAAGAACACCAGUGGCGAAGGCGGCUUACUGGUCCGGAACUGACGCUGAGGUGCGAAAGCGUGGGGAGCAAACAGG